UACGUAGGGGGCAAGCGUUGUCCGGAAUCAUUGGGCGUAAAGAGCGUGUAGGCGGCUUGGUAAGUCCGCUGUGAAAGUCAAAGGCUCAACCUUUGAAAGCCGGUGGAUACUGUGAGGCUAGAGUACGGAAGAGGCGAGUGGAAUUCCUGGUGUAGCGGUGGAAUGCGCAGAUAUCAGGAGGAACACCAAUAGCGAAGGCAGCUCGCUGGGACGUUACUGACACUGAGGCGCGAAAGCGUGGGGAGCAAACAGG
rnacentral:rRNA from 1 species